AAUGCAGCCUCUACCCCCCGAACAACCCUACAUGCAGUGGCAUCUACUCUCCCUCAACCCCCUUGAGCCUUUCACCAAGCUUAAGAGAUGGCACGAGAGAGGUCUGACAGGCGAGGUCUGAGGCAGCCCCCCAGCCCGUGGCAGGACACCACGCUGUCAUCUCUGGCCAGCCAUGAACAGGCCCUGGGCAUUUCUUUCACUGACGCCAAACCUGGCAACCCAGGGACUCUCUAUUCCUCCAGGACCAGGGGUUUUUUCCAGGAUUUCUGGCGUGCCCCAGUAGCCUGCACACCAACAGAGAGGCAGACAAGAUCAAGAGAACAGGUUUUGCACAGUUAGAGAAAGACUUUGAUGGUUCAUAACAUCAGGGAAAAAAUUCCAGUACCCCGGGGCAAGCUGCAAUGUGGAUGCUCCUUUCAGCAACCUGCCUCUGAUUGGAGCUGCCUGGAACCUCCCUGCCAAUCAGCAUGGGCGCUGGGAAACCUGGAACUUUAUAGCUUAGCAACGAGAAAUCUGGAGGAACUCUGGAAUUAAUUUAAGGAAACGAGAAGGGGAAAAAAAAAAAAAACUAGAAGGAAAUUAGUAGCCAAAUAAUCAGACUCCCUGACUUUAUUAUUACCUUUGUGGCCAAGGCAAGUCAUUUUCAGCAUUAAUUACAAGCAGAGAGGGAACCGGCCAGCUAUCUUGUCUCAAACUCUGCGAUGCUUUUUGUUCUGUUUUUUUUUCCCCCCUGCACUGGCGCUGGGGUGGAGAUGUGAACAGAGCCAAGAAAGAACAGACAAAACAGGUUUAUCUGCAACAAAGACAGAAAGAGAUCAAGAGGCAGCAGCCCAGUUCUGAAACACCCCUCUGAGAAGCCCAGCUCGGACGUGCGAAGCAAAUGGUGGUGGCUUUUCCACCCUCAUCUUCUCUCUGCUGGUUUCUCAUCUCACAGUAGAAUUGCGUUUCCCCUAGAAACUUGGCACCGGAGGUGUCAGCCCGGGAACAUAUUUGUUUGUGUAAAUUAAAAGGAGAAUAUGUUUUGACCAUAUUUAAGUUCUAGCUGUGCUAAAGAAAUAAAUACUGAGUUGCACAAUGCG